UAAUGGAAUGGAAGGUGGGAAGUGCUAGACAGAAGUAGGAAAGGAGCACCUAGCGGUUUGCAAAUGUGUAUGUCUCACUGAUGAUCAAUUUCAAACUAUGUCUGUCUCACUGCUGAUCA